UACGAAGGGGGCUAGCGUUGCUCGGAAUCACUGGGCGUAAAGGGUGCGUAGGCGGGUUUUUAAGUCAGGGGUGAAAUCCUGGAGCUCAACUCCAGAACUGCCUUUGAUACUGAAGAUCUUGAGUUCGGGAGAGGUGAGUGGAACUGCGAGUGUAGAGGUGAAAUUCGUAGAUAUUCGCAAGAACACCCGUGGCGAAGGCGGCCAACUGGGCCGGACCUGACGCUGAGGCGCGAAGGC
rnacentral:rRNA from 1 species